GCCAGGCAUGGUGGUGCAUGCCUGUAAUCCCAGCUACUCGGGAGGCUGAGGCAGGAGAAUUGCUUGAACCUGGGAAGCUGAGGUUGCAGUGAGCCGAGAUCGCCCCACUGCACUCCAGCCUGGGUGACAGGGUGAGACUCUGUCUCAA
ensembl:misc_RNA Metazoa_SRP Metazoan signal recognition particle RNA